CUCUGCUUCCGUAGGUGACCUGCGGAAGGACAUUAC
rnacentral:rRNA from 1 species